UUUUCCCUCUUUCUCUCGCGAUUCCCCGACGCCGAUCGCCGCGAGCUCACCGCCGGCAACGACCUUCUCCUCCAGCGUGCCUCAGUCGGUUCUCCCUCCGAUCUUUCUCCCUCUCUCACGCGGACGACCUAGUGUUGACGGAGGGUGAGUUUUCCCCCGGCGAUCUCGUUCUCACCGUGCCAUCAGAUCUCAACAGUACGUGUUAUCUCCGGGUGAGGGGAUGUCUUUGUGGCUGUUCUUGAGCGCGAUUGGCAGCAGCUCGGCACCUAGGGCAUCACGGUGGACUCGCCUUGCAUCACCCCUAACCGAUCGACCUUCUCGUUCUUUCCUCUCGAUCUGAUCACUGAGAGUGAUCUGUAUCUCCUCAUCAGUGGGAUUGAAGCGGGCGUCAUCAUCUAGGAUCGGAUGAGACAACACCAUUUGUAGGCGACUGAUCAAGGAGAAAUAGCGGAUCAGUGUGCUGUGGACUUGGCUUGUUGCCGGUCAUUGCAAAUUCCACUUCUUGAAGCUAUACCCUAGCUUCCGGGUGUUGAGUUCUUCCUCGUCAUUGAUCUGGAUUGAGGUAAGGGACUGUUGAGCUUAUGGACAGGGAUCAAGGUGCUGUGAGCUGUUGGAUUUGCUGCCAUCCCUCAAGG